rnacentral:lncRNA from 1 species
AUGCAUCCAUCCUGUAGUUGUCAAGAUGAAUCUGCUGUAGCCAUUACUUUGUUGGUAAAACUGGGAGGCUUUAAGAAAACACUGUCAAGUGAUUAUGAAAAAAAAAAUGUAUUCGACUGUUCUGCCCCUGCCAGGCUUGUGAGCACAACAGUUGGAGAAGAAACAAAGUGGAGACAGGAGCUGCCAAGCGAUGCCUGCUGCGAGCGGGAGGCCUUUUCUGGAUUGCUAACAACAGGGACCACGAUCAGGAAACUGGUCACUAAGCCUGUGCCUGCGUCCAGGAUGCGGCAGCCUCCUGCUUGGAUUUUGAACAGCAAUGUUAUACCUAGGCUCCAGUUUCUCCCUCCUGCUUUUCGCAGAGGUUCUAUGCUCACAGGAAAUGAGAGCAGAAAUCCAGUGAGGAGGACAGAUGCCUCAGAUACAGAGGAACUUGAGUUAAUGGGGUCAACAGCUACUUUAAUGGAGGCAAAGGUCCUAUUGUUCUUCAGCUUUAUAGUUGUACUGCCCAUACCUCCACUACCUCAAGAUUCCCCACUUUGCAUUUUGUCAUGGCAGCAAUAGUUGAUUUGAUCAGAAAAUUUGGGAAGAAGUGACAACAAUGAUGCAGGUCCUUCUGGAUGGAAGCUUGAAAAGCCAUUGAGUGAGUGAUUUGCCAUUUUUUAGUUUGUGCACAGAUGGUAACGGAAGUACUGAAGCAAGGGCUCCCUAAGUGGCUACGUAGAGUAGACUACACCAUCUCAGCUGAACCACACUGAACAGCUACCAUGAAGAAGGAAUAAACAUGUGCGUGUGCACA